rnacentral:tRNA from 1 species
AAAAACUUAGGAUAUUUAAAYCAAGGGCCUUCAAAGCCCUAAAAAAGGGCGCAAACCCU